CACUGAAAACGGCACGUAGGCAGCUACUUAACGACGCGCCCCCCACCACUCUGCUCCUUCUACUGUCCGCUGCACGUUACUUUGUAAUUGGGGAGUUUUUUAUGCCGGACCCUGUAGUUCAAGUAAUCUACCACAAGAAUGCGCUGUUCUACGCAUCCAAAUUGGUGGUACAAAUAAUGUACCACCGUACAACCUCGGUGAAACAUAAGGUGGUACACAAAUUGUACCACCAGACUUAAGAGUUAACAUCCACAUCUGACAGACAUGUGUUCUGCUUUGAAUACAUAUUCAAGAAGAAAAAUGAAAAAAAUCAAUGAACAGAAUGCCUUAUUGAUUGAAAAGCAGUACACUUAUCUUUAGUUCCUUGUAGCUGUAACUGUGAGAGCAUGUUUUGGUAUUAAUUGAGGUUCUGAUACACAAGAGUGGCUGAAAACAAUGAGCUGCAUUACAGUACAAGCCUGUACUGAAUGUUUACUGCAGCUGUGAUAAAUAUUUAUCUUUUGUUUGUCCUCAACACUCUGUACAUGCAAGCCCAGACUAGGCUUGAGUGAGUGACGUUACAAUGACACUCUGAAGGCAGAAGUGGAACUUCUUUGCUUGUCUGCACUUGACGGAACUGUAGUACCCUUGUAGACAGAACAGAACUCGGACCGGACUCCAAAAGAACUCAUACCAGACACCAGCAGAACAGGAAACACUUGUCCCACAUGGUGCCUUGUAACUACGCGAGGAAUGGCUUACGGCUUCUUUCUCAUUGGUGCCCGAUGAUGAUAACGCUUAGACAUACAGCAUCCCUGUGGCAGUGGAUUGCCAAUUAGCUGCAGGCGAUUACUGAUGAUACCACUCAUGUCACCUGCAACAGUGUCACAAGCCCACAUGCCAUGAGACACUGAGGAGAGGUAAUUUAAUCUAUGAUGCUGAUGCAAGGUCUGGUCAUUAGAAACAUUAUACUUCCAUCCCCCCUCUCAUUGCUGAGGAAAUACGAGCCACCACUUAGAUUUGAACCAACUUACCUCUGAAUCAAGUGCCACCACAGAGGCAUGUUUCUGUGAUAUUGUGGACGCCAGGGGGAGGGAAAUGACUGGUUGUAUUUAUUACAAUAAUUGCGUGGCUUUUUAACAUAGUUGAUUUUGAGGUAGCAGAGACUACACUAAGAGGUGAGGUUAUUAAUGUAGAUCCGGAGGGAAUGUUAGGAAGGCUGGUUGGGGAUAAAGAAGAUAGAUGUUGUUGGCAUCGUGUAGCUAACAGGGCAACUGGCUGGUGCAUUUCAGCUUUGCAGAGAUGGUAGAGAAGUUAAAAACUAAUUCUUGAAGCAUUCCUGUAGACAGAUGAAGAUAUGCUGCUGGGUAAGAUUUACAGUGACAAAAGGAGGAUGGUAUGUCAGAAAAGGAGCUAUACGGCAGAUAUAAUUGGGAGGGACAGCAUAGAUUUUUGGUUUAAACAUGGGGCUUCUAUGCCAAAUUUCAUCAAAGGCUUUUCAUUUUCUGGGGGAAGAAAUAUAAGCACAAGAGCUUUUGUUCCUUGCAGGAAAAGUAGUGAGAUAAGUCUGAGAAGCUGGUAACUUAUGGGGUACUUGUGACAGUAGCCACACUGGAUGUUGUGAAGGCGUAGGUGGUAUUCAAAGUGUUUCUUGAUACUGUGCAUUAGGACGGGUUGAAGCAUUUUACUGAAGUCAGGCUAACAGGUCUGUUGGAUCAGGAUGCAUAGCAAUGUUCACUGGAUUUAAUGAGUAGGACUAUUGUGGAGGACUUCUACAAUAAGAAAUUUUUUGAGCCAUUGGUCUUCUGACUGAUAUGAAGCAGCUGGCUGUGAAUUCCUCUCCUGUGCCAACCUUUUUGUCUCAGAGUACCAGUUGCAACUUUAAUCAAUUAUUUGCUGGAUGUAUUCUGCCGUCUGUCUUCCUCUACAAGUUUUGCCCUUUGCAAUUCACUCUUGUACCCCAGAGGUUAUUCCCUGAUGUCUUAACAGAUGUCGAAUCAUACUGCACCUUCUCCUUGUCAGUGUUUUCCAUACAAUCCUUUCCUCCCCGUUUCUACAGAGUGUCUCUUUGCUUCUUACCGUAUCAGUCCACCUAAUUUUCAACAUUCUUCUGUAACACCACAUCUCAAACUCUUCAUUUCUCUGCUGUUCUGGUUACAUCAUGCAUUAGCUUAACUAAUUUACAUUAAUUUAAUUUUAAAAUGAGAACUCAUGAGCCUUUACAAUCAUUUAUAAGUUCUCCUAAUAGAUUUAAGAUACGUGAAAUGUUUCAUUGUUACAGCCAACAACCAAUACAAGCUAAAUGGAUUGUGGCAUGGAAACACAAUGCCAAAUACAAUUAGUGUUCUGUCAUUUAUUCAUUUGCAACUUGCCACAGCAUCCUUGAGAUUAAAUGCUGAUCAUCACAAAGCGUCUUGCAAACUUGAAUGCACGCAGGGAACCUUUAAAUGGCCACAUUUAUGGGCAAAAUGGAAUCUUAGCUUUGAGACUAACAGAUACUGGCCCUGCAAAACUGAUGGUGGUAUUAAAAGAUACAAUCUUCUCUAAAUUUUACAACAUUUUUCUAGAAGUCAGCUUGGUCACUAACAAAAAUGCAUCCAUCAUCCACAAUGGUUGUCUGCUCCAGUUAAUUUUUAAAGUUCUCUUUCCAGUGAUUGCUUUCAGUUUCUACUCAAACCAAAGUUUAGUAAUCUUGCAUGAGCAGCUGCAUCAUUUUGGUAUCCAACAAGUGGCAUGGAAAAAUCAUUAUACAUGAAUUACAUGUUUGUUCUCUUUUUCAUGUCUCUAAUCUGUGGGAAGACGUAUUAAUCCACAAAUCUGGAGAUACUGUGUACGGGUGGAAGUUGUAUGUUAACCAGCAGAUAUCGGAGAAACCAGAGAAUUAUCCCAGUCCUCACAUGCUGUGCUGUAAAAAGGACACUGGUGAAUGAGUUGGCGACACUUCAGCUGCUCGUUCCUCGCCAAUGCUGCCAUGUGGGUCAGAUGUCACAGUAAGCUGACAGCUAAGCCAGAUACAGAUGUAAACAUUCCAUCAGAAGUGGAUGGGGGCACUUCCCUCAUCUUAAGAACAUGCCCACAUCUGGGGUUGCGGAGUGGCAAAACACAACAGCAAACCUUUAUAAUUUCAUGUACCAAUGGAACAAUGAGUCUACAUAGCAUAAUACAAAUGCAUAUCAUCGAAAUUCUCCAGCUCUACAUAUACAACCAACAAUCUUCAAGACAUCUAAUGAGGACAAGAAGUGUACAUAACGUUGUUGAAAAUGAAAACCAUUGAAAUCUAAACAAACAACAAAAGCUGUGAAAUAUACCAGUUCAUGUAAAACCUUAGUCAUUCUACCAUAAAUCCAAUGUAAUCUGAUUGACUACAUUCCGAUUUGUAUAACUAAUUUACUGUUUCAUUUACUUAUUUAUGUGCAUAUGUAAAUGAAAUUUUAAUUGACAUUCAUGGGAAUGUAUUGAAACAACAGUUUGUGUACAAACAAUUUUAAAUGAACAAUUGCACAUCGAAAAAUAUUUCAUUUUUAACUGUACUGAAAGGAAUAUAAACACUGAAGGCAAUUUAUAAAUGAAAUAGCUACAAGCCUUUGUGGGGGAAUUAAACAUUACAUGGACAGACUCAUUUUUACUUAAAUGUAACAUAGCAAAAAUGCCAGAAAGCACAAAAAUGUGCACUAAUCUAAUUUUUUUGCUAUAAAUAACUUCAUGCCUAAAUAACUUACAAUUACAUUCCACAAAAUUAAUGUACAUAAUUUCAUAAAUAACAUUUCAAAGAUAUAGUGGCAGUUGGCCUGUGGCUGACUGCAAUCAAUUAUAAUUGUUUUUUUUUUUUUUUGUUUUAAAAAGUAAGCGAAGAGCAUUCCUGCUUGGAUCUCUUUCUCACUUCUCUGUUAGCCGCUGCACUGAUAGGACACACUAUAGCUGCAUUCCUUGCUUAUCGGUAACUAACCUUUCUUUUGUGUAGACAAAUCGUAUGCAAGUGUCAUGUAUUAGCUUUAUAACCAUUUAUUAUUAAAUUAAUGUAUAUUAGUUAA